rnacentral:rRNA from 1 species
GAGCAAUCUGUGUGACUGCGUACCUUUUGUAUAAUGGGUCAGCGACUUAUAUUCUGUAGCAAGGUUAACCGAAUAGGGGAGCCGAAGGGAAACCGAGUCUUAACUGGGCGUUAAGUUGCAGGGUAUAGACCCGAAACCCGGUGAUCUAGCCAUGGGCAGGUUGAAGGUUGGGUAACACUAACUGGAGGACCGAACCGACUAAUGUUGAAAAAUUAGCGGAUGACUUGUGGCUGGGGGUGAAAGGCCAAUCAAACCGGGAGAUAGCUGGUUCUCCCCGAAAGCUAUUUAGGUAGCGCCUCGUGAAUUCAUCUCCGGGGGUAGAGCACUGUUUCGGCAAGGGGGUCAUCCCGACUUACCAACCCGAUGCAAACUGCGAAUACCGGAGAAUGUUAUCACGGGAGACACACGGCGGGUGCUAACGUCCGUCGUGAAGAGGGAAACAACCCAGACCGCCAGCUAAGGUCCCAAAGUCAUGGUUAAGUGGGAAACGAUGUGGGAAGGCCCAGACAGCCAGGAUGUUGGCUUAGAAGCAGCCAUCAUUUAAAGAAAGCGUAAUAGCUCACUGGUCGAGUCGGCCUGCGCGGAAGAUGUAACGGGGCUAAACCAUGCACCGAAGCUGCGGCAGCGACGCUGAUGCGUUGUUGGGUAGGGGAGCGUUCUGUAAGCCUGCGAAGGUGUGCUGUGAGGCAUGCUGGAGGUAUCAGAAGUGCGAAUGCUGACAUAAGUAACGAUAAAGCGGGUGAAAAGCCCGCUCGCCGGAAGACCAAGGGUUCCUGUCCAACGUUAAUCGGGGCAGGGUGAGUCGACCCCUAAGGCGAGGCCGAAAGGCGUAGUCGAUGGGAAACAGGUUAAUAUUCCUGUACUUGGUGUUACUGCGAAGGGGGGACGGAGAAGGCUAUGUUGGCCGGGCGACGGUUGUCCCGGUUUAAGCGUGUAGGCUGGUUUUCCAGGCAAAUCCGGAAAAUCAAGGCUGAGGCGUGAUGACGAGGCACUACGGUGCUGAAGCAACAAAUGCCCUGCUUCCAGGAAAAGCCUCUAAGCAUCAGGUAACAUCAAAUCGUACCCCAAACCGACACAGGUGGUCAGGUAGAGAAUACCAAGGCGCUUGAGAGAACUCGGGUGAAGGAACUAGGCAAAAUGGUGCCGUAACUUCGGGAGAAGG